UGGACUCUCCCCGCCUCGGCCCAUCAAUGUUCUCCCGUACGCCGUGCCCAGCCCAACCGCGGCUCAGGACGACGCUAGCUCCUCGCCGGCGGCGACUCAGUUCGCUCGACCGGGACGGGACGACGGCUCCCCUCUCCCGCGAAGCUCGCCGACGGCGACGGCGACCGCCACAUCUCGUCCAUGCGCAGCUCCGGUCGGAGAUUCCUGCCUUUCAGCUUCAGUCACUCCAUGAAGCACACAGAUUGGAGAUCCACCAGCCCUGCUGUGUGAUGUUUGUCUCCCCCACUCAUCAGUUUUUGAUGCGUGUGCUCAUCCGUCAACGACUCAACGAUGGUACGCCGACGGAUCUCGACCAAUAAUCGGCAGGAUUUCCAUCCCACAGCUCGCAUCUGUAUAAUCUGCAUAUCUUAUAGGUGUAGUAUGUAGGAAUUUAAAAUGUGCUGCAUUUAAUUUCUACGUUUUUCACUUUCCUGCAUUUUGUACAACCAGUGUGCUCUAAAAAAAAAACUACUGUUCCUGCUUUGCGGAAUCACAUAAUGUAAUGCAAGAUGGGUUCGUCGUUCGGCGAACAUAGUAGCACACAGGAAGGUGUUUCAAACAAUUGUAUCACGACCAGGAUUUCUGUCCACCGGGUUUUCUUUUGUCUUGCUAGUAGACGAUUGUAAAGAGUUUGAGUGACUCCUAGCUUUGGUGUGUAACCCUAAACAUAAUACAUAUGGCUCAAUGUUGUUGCAUACUCUCUCCGUCCCAUAAAAAACUAACCUAGUAUUAGAUGUGACACAUUAUAGUACUACAAAUCUGGAGAUACCACUGUCCAGAUUUACUGUACUAAAAUAUGUCAUAUCCAGUCUUAGACAUUUUUUCGGGAUGGAGGGAGUAUGUUGCCAUGCUACACGCACGACCAAUAUAAAUGUGUGUAUUUGACUCUCCUGGUCGGUUAGUAACUAUGCUACUGUAACAAUAUUUUAGUAUUCU